rnacentral:lncRNA from 1 species
GGGCAGAGGACUGGAGAGUACAAAAGGAGGAGGCUCCCCUUCGGAGAGCAGAGAUAAGAGGAGGCAGGGAGUGAAACUGCCUGAGGAACAGAGAGGAGAGGGGAGGAGAGGAGAGGAGAGGAGAAGAGAGCAGAGGAGAGAUCAGAUCUGUAGCUAGGUCACAUCUGGACAGGACCCAAGUCCAAGGUAAAUCGAGAACAAGUGAUGGAACUAAAGAAUGAAGGAGAAAUGGGUGGACAGGGCACAAAUUGGGGAAUGACAGCCUAUUCAGUGAGGAUAGGAAAUGCACAUAAAGGACAGAUGAAGAUGAUUUCUCUGUGUGUGAUUAGAAGGAUAGCAAUUACAAAGAUAAGAGUGAAAGGAGAGGGAGGAAAGGGGAAAAGGGAAUAAGUAAGAAGACAAAAUAAGCAAUGAGUGUCUAAGUACCGAUCUGAAUGCUUAGAAAAUCACCAGGCUGUUAGGCUGAGCCAAAAGAAGAGCCACAGCCGUACCCAAGAGGGGACCAUCGGAAAGACAGAAGCAGGCAAUUUAAGUAGCUAGCUACUGGGGUAAAAUGAAAAAAAAGAAAAAAUAGAAGAUGGAAAAGGUGAGAAGCAAAAGAGGGAAAACCCAAAGGAGACACUGGCCCAGAAACCUUUUUAACUUUCUGUAAGAAUCUUCAAGGCCCCAAACUAGGCCAAGAUUCUGACUGACAUUUCUGAGCUCACCAGCUGCCGUUUCCUUGAGAGAAUUCUGACAGGAAGGCAUAGAAAUGCGAACCAACACUGCCAGCUCUGGAAAAUAAAUAAAUAAGUAAAUAACUAUCCACAUCCUAAACACCUCAGUGGGGGCCGAAGCCUGCUGGGGAAGAAAGCCCAGCGAGGAGGAGGGACCCGCCUGCAACUUUUCCCCAGCUCUGACUCCAAAGGGCUUGAACCCACACCAAGAAAGUGCUGAAUCUACAGAGGGAAGCCUUGAGCAGGAGGGGAGGCUGCAGUCACCCAAGGCUCAUGCCAUCACCCCACGAAGAGUUUCAGAACAAGGGAGGAAGAUGAAGAGGCCUCCUUCCCUCACUUAAACCCCCAUUCCAGGAUGGCUCUUACAUCCCACACCUCUGACUCCUUGUUUUUAGGGCUUAGACAAAUGAUGCUUGAGACACACCAAGAUACCUGCACACUAGAGGCUGCAGUCACCUCAGAAGAAAGAUGCCCCCUGCUCUGGCUGGUCAAACGGAACCAAGUCCGUCUUCCUGAGAGGUUUGGUCCCCUUCAACCAGCUACAGCAGGGCUGGCAAUGCCCAGUCCUUGGAGAAACAGAAGAGAUUCAACUGCAACUGAAAUUACCUACUAAAACUUUCCUUGAGAAAACAAUUCUGGUUUUUUCACCAUAUUCUUAUGCUCCCAGGAAGGAAGAGAAGAGGAGUCCUGGAGUCAAAAGUGAGCAAGAUUUUAAUGCUCAACACACACUGUUCUGUGCCUUUGCACUCACAGCUGCAGCCACUUACAUGCUUUUGACAGACACACAGUCAAGAAAGAGUUUGAGGAUGGAGUUUGUGCCAACCCUAAGCCAGCCAGGGGAAGAGCAUGAGACAUAGAAGACAGGGCUCCUGCUCACUAGGGGCUAACAGUCUAAGGAAAGAAAUUAGACAUGUAUAUAUGGUGUGAUCCAAUUGAAUUGCAAGUUAUAGCAUGGCUAGUUCCAAGGCAUAAUUCUUACCUAUCCCACCAAAUAUGCCUAGCACAUUAUGUAUCAUCAAGUCUCUAUUGAUCUAUUCAGCCCAAGAUAUCUAUUCACUAAGCAAUCAUUUCUCAGUUCCCUGAUCUGUAGAAUAGGGAUAAUAGUACCUGUCACACCAGGCACAGUGGCUUAUGCCUAAAAUCUCAGCAUUUGGGGUGGCUAAGACAGGGGAUUGCUUGAGGCCAGGAGUUCCAGAUCAGCCUGGUCAACAUAGCAAGAUGCUGUUUCUACCAAAAAAAAAUUUUUUUUGUUUUAAUUAGCUGAAUGCGGUAGUGCACACCUAUAGUCCUAGCUACUUGGGAGGCUGAGGCAGGAAGAUCACUUAAGUCCAGGAGAUGGAGGCUGUAAUGAGCUAAGUUCUCAUAAUCGCUACCUUUUACUAAGGGAGAAUUCUGACCUGUCCUUCCAGUUUAUCUUUUAAGAUUUGUAUCUUUUAUGGUGUGUGUCUGGAACUUAGACAGUAAUAAGUAAAUAUUUGGGUUUAAAAUUCUAUAGACAUGUGUGUUCACAUGCUGUAUUCUGACACAAAUGGGGUAGCAUAAGUGCCUAGAGCCCACCACAGUGACCUCAGAGGAGAACACAGAGCUUACUAGCACAAAUCUUUGCAUUCAGGAAGACCUGGGGUUGAAUGCUGCCCCUCUAAUUUAUUAGCUGUGAUAUAUCCUCUCCGCAGCUCAAUUAACAUUGCACAAGCCUUAGUUUACUCAUCUGUAAAAUGGGGACAAUGAUACCAACCUCAGUUACCGUAAGGCUUAAAACAGACAGUGUUAAUAAAGAGCCAAAUAUAAGCCCUUAAGAAAUAGUAGCUGUUGUUUUACUGCUGUAAAUGGCAACAGCACAAGGACAAUGCUGUGUCCACAGGCACUUGUAUGUAGAAGGAAAGAGCCAAAUUAAAAAAAAAAUAGGAGAAGAACUCAAAAAAUACAUAAAGGCUCAUUGCUCACUGUAGGGUUUUGUUUUUUGUUGUUGUUGUUUUGUUUUUGUUUUUGUUUAUUUUUUGAGACAGGGUCUCACUCUGUUGCCCAGAUAGGAGUGCAGUGGCACGAUUUCAGCUCACUGCAACCUCCGCCUCCCAGGCUCAAGCGAUUCUCCUGCCUCAGCCUCCCAAGCAGCUGAGAUUACAGGCACGCACCACUACCACCCGACUAAGUUUUAUAUUUUUAGUAGAGACAGGGUUUCACCAUGUUGGCCAGGCUGGUCUUGAACUCCUGACCUCAAGUGAUCCGCCCGCCUUGGCCUCCCAAAGUGCUGGGAUUACAAAUGUGAGCCACCGUGCCCAGCCUAUAGGGUAUUUUUAUAUUCCAACUAUUAAUUCUACUAGCAUGUAGCAUACAUGCAUUCACCCUAGUACAUAUGACUAGCAUAUAAUAUGCUUUACUUUUAAAAAAUGCUUUAUACAUGAGACUGAUCUUACCAUCUUCAAUAUCCUGUCUGGAAAGCCUUCAUUUGUGAGUGCUGUUGAGAUCACAUGUCCUCCCAAGUAGGACAUGGAGUGUGAAGGCCAUUGAGUGGGUGUUCCAAAGGGCAGCACAGAAUGGAGUUUAGUUGAAGGUGCUGGGGACACACUACCUGGGCUCAAGUCCCAGCUCCCCACUCUCCAGCUGUGCCACUUGAGCAAGUUGCUUGACCUCUCCAGGCCUGGGUUUCCUCAUCUGUAAAGUAGGAAUAUUGAUAAUAAUAUCUACUUCAUAGAGUUUCAUGAGAAUACAUGUAAAGGCCUGAAACCAGUAUUGGGUACAUAAUAAUACAUUCUUAAGAGUCUUUAUUUCUGACAAUGUACCUGAAAUGUUCCUGAAAUUAAGUUGGUGUUCAAUAAAAACAUGUUCACUGAAAGA